AGAUGUGAAGAUGCUCUGCCUGCAACAUCUGUCAUGCUACUGCCAUCCAUGUCAAUUCAGCUGAUGAGACUGGCUAGGUAGCCAGCCUUUUUCCUCUUCCCAGAUUCACGCAGAACAAUGAGAAUUUGCUCAGUCACAAAGGAUACCCUUCCGUGAAGGAAGACCAUUCCUUCGUCAAGGGUAAAGAUUCACUUACCUGCUAGAAUCUCUAACCAAUCCCUCAAGAAACACCGAGCUCCUGUAUCUCCUCCCCCUAAGCAACAUUGCUACUGUCCUGUGGAAAAUAUCCAG
rnacentral:sRNA from 1 species